rnacentral:pre_miRNA from 1 species
ACCCUUAGAACCGAGUUUGUGAUAUCCGUGGUGUCACAAGCUCGGACCUACGGGUAC